ensembl:lncRNA
CCCUGGACCUCCUGGCGGCGCACCACCCUUCCUCCUCCUCCGCCGGCGCCGCCACCAACGCCUCCGUCACCCAGUCCAACCCCGACCUGUUCUCCCCCAAGGAGGUGCUGUCCGUGGGCGAGCUGUACCACACCCUGCGCUGGCCCGGAGACGCGGAGGGGGCGGCGGACGCAGGGAAAGAGUUCAACCCCGCAGUCCAGGCGCAUAAAUCUAGACCCAAGAAGAAGCCCCAGAGGGACGGCCAGCAGCAACCGAGGAGAGAAGUACACACCCAAGCAGAUCUCCCCCCUCCGCCCACCCCCCCGCCCACAGAGCGGUCGGACGCGG